rnacentral:piRNA from 1 species
UUGAAGGUAAUAUAACUGAUCUCAGAGUG